CCCACCUGGGUUGCAGAUUCAGGAGGCCUUAAGCUCCUUACCCCCUUGACGUUCUCCUCAAUCUGAUCCUGAUGGAGAUCUAGAAAGGGGCGGGUUGAAUAUGGCUGGGCUACCUUCCUAAAACUCUACCUCCUAAUGGGAGCUUCUUAUAAUCCCUGAAGGGGAGCUAGGGUCCUGGGGACACAAGAAAGUGGCAGGAGCAAGUGAGAAGGUUGUGAAUUAAAUGCUGGAAGAGGAGCAACACUGUGGGUAGAGCACUGCCUGCUCCUGUCUGGAGCAUCUGCCCAGUCCAGCUUUUGACCAAACAGAGCUCCUAUGGGGAAGAGUCACCCAAGAGGAUGGUUGUCACAGACUUGGCCUCACUGACGCCCCUGGCUUAGGGGUAAACUGAGGACAAGAGUGCUGGGCCAGGGAGACCUGAGUAUGGACAUAAGAUAGCUGAUGACCCCACUUCUUUUCUUCCUCCAAGGGGAAAAGUAGCGGAUGAUGCAAUCAAAAUAAAAAAUGCCAGUGAGUUCUGCAAUCAUGUCUUCCACGGCAGAACUCUAGAGACAGUCUCCAGCUCGGGGAACACUCACACAGAUGAUUCACUGAGGCUUCCCGGAGGACACUUCCAAACACCAAAUUUGCUUUGACUUGAAGGAAGAUGACAUGUGUACACUGGAUAGAAUGGCGGUAUCCCUGGGGCCAGAAGCCUCGUGCCUCAGCCUUGGAGGUGGGAGACUGCAGGGAAGGUGAUUUAAGAGGAAACCAAAAAGUUAGAAGUAUAAUAUUUGCAAAAUAUUAUUCCUGCUACAGAAAUAUGAUUCUGAGAUUUCAAGAAACACAACCACACUCUCCUCUUUUAGGAAAUGUCCAUUUAUACAAUUUUCCUGUUUGAAACAUCCAUAAUUUUCGACUUCCUUCCUAAAACACUUUCCCCAGAGUCAUAUGUACUUUGAAAGACUGUCUUUGAAGGAUUUUAUUCCGCAUUCUAUUUUUCUGGUUAACAAACAACACUGAA